rnacentral:tRNA from 1 species
GCUCAGGGGUAGAGCACAACCUUGCCAAGGUUGGGGUCGAGGGUUCAAAUCCCUUCGCCCGCU